rnacentral:snRNA from 1 species
GUCACUUCUUGGCCUUUUGGCUAAGAUCAAGUGUAGUGUCUGUUCGUAUCAGUUUAAGAAAGCCUCCUUUGCUGAUGUCAGACGUGCCCAAGGACUGAGGCUUCUGCCUCUGAGUUGCAGCUCAA